CAAUAAUAUUAGGUUUCACUUUUUUUCUGAUCCUGCAGCUUCUUGCCAUGUUUCCACUCCCCUGAGGUUGCCAUUUUCUAGCACAUGCUCUCCAGAAUGGAUCCUAGGGGUAUUAAUGUGAAGCUAUUAGCUGACAGCAUUUUGAACCUUUCAAAAAUAGUUGAGAAUUGGUCCUCUACAAGCUCCAACACUGGGCCUCUAGGGUCACAUCAUUUAACAAAACAAGGACACCGCAAUUCUGCUACUGAACAGACAUUUCAACUUCCAACAAAACCCAGCCAAGUUAAUUCUACUAUUAAUCAGAUGGAACCUAUUUUGAAAUCCUAGAUUGUAAACAACUUGCAGACGAAGAGGUUGCAUUUAUAAAAAAACUGAAACCCAGCCACAUCCUCGCAUUUGCCACGGGAAGUGGAAAUAUACCCGCUCUAGGAUUUUCUCCAAGGCCACGAAUAUCGUUCAUUCAUGAUGAGGAUCGUGUUUAUCCAAUUGCACACACAUGCAACAAUGAGCUUCAGUUGUUUGUCAAUGCCAAAACAACCAAGGAUAAUAAUUUUUUAUAUUUCUUAUUGACUGCUCUUAUGAAUGGGGCAGUAUUUAGCACUGUCUAAUUAAAAAUUUAAAGCACAGUCAUUGGUCUGUAGCCUAUCAAGCAAUUGUAUCCCAUUCAGAACUGUUAAAAAGAAAUAUGAAAAAUUAUUAUCUUUUGUUGUAUAUUUUCUGUUCAUUUAAGGAGGAACUAUCAUGAAUUCUGAAUAGAUAAAAAAUAGUUUAUGUAAAAAGGACUUAAUUUUCUACCAUUGUGAAGAUAACAGAUGAAGAUCACUGCAUCAAGAGCAGCAUUCCUUCCUCACUUCUGGCAAGCUGCCAAAAUCAUUGUUUCUCCAAGUUAUUUAACCAGUAGUAGGAGUGCUUAUGCUAACAAAUACUGUCUCUUUUUUUCAUCCAUUCCUCGUGAAGUCAUCAGUAAGUGCUGUAUGUGUUAUAAUCAUUGUGCAAGGCACAGUGCUGCCGUGCAUUCAAGGGAGUGUGCAUGAGAAUGUAAACACAGGAAUAUUGUUUACAGCACAGUGGGGUCUUCUUUUCACUAUGCCCUACACAAUAUUAAUAAGAUAUACAGCCUUUACUAUUGACUUUACAUGGAUUCUCUGCAAAGCAUGGCUGAAAAAAGAGACAGGGUUUGUUAGUACAAUCACUCCAAUUAUUAGAAGAGUAAUAGAGUGUGCAACAAUGAUUUUGACAGCCUGCCAGAAGUGAGGAAGGAACAUUGCAGAAAGCUAUGAAUUCAGUGAGCUUCACAACAAUACAAAAUUAAAAAACAUGUUUAAGGAAUGAUUUCUUUUUACAGAAACUAUUAAGGUAAAUGGUCCAUGGGGGAGUUUAAUCACCAGCCAUAAAUCUCUGCUUCUGCAGGUGACUAAUUUCCUCCAAAUGCUUUCCCACUUGUAAUAAAGUAAAUCGCUGGUGGUCAAACCAAGAGUCGCUUUGGUCUUGCGACUUUAGAAGACUAAAGGAACACAUGCUUCAGUCAUCGAUUCACCAUGCUGUUGGUUAGCAUUUGUAGGAGAUUAGUUGCCUGCAGAGAUUCAUUACUAGUGAUUAAACUCCUUGUGGGCCAUUCGGUUAUACUUGGCACUAAAAAUUCAUAAUAGUUCCCCUUUAAUGUUUAGUGUGUGUCACAGGCAGUUUUCAUUGUUUCUACACUGCAAGAAAAUGGUUGUUUUUUUUAUAUUUGCUUGCACUUCAAGAAAUACUGUACACUUGUUUUUCAUAUUUGCGUGCACUGCAAGAAAUAAACUUGUGUGUGUUCAUAUUUACUUGCACUGCAAGAAAUACACUUGUUGUUUCACAUUUGCUUAAACUUGUUUUUUCAUAGUUACUUGCACUGCAAGAAAUAAACUUUUGUGUUUUUA